UCCAUGAUAGCUCAGUUGGUAAAGAAUCUGCCUGCAAUGCAGGAGACCCUGGUUCAAUUCCUGGUUGAGAAG
rnacentral:tRNA from 1 species